rnacentral:lncRNA from 12 species
AGCUGCACCCAGGAGAUCUUGGAGGAGAUGGUCUGUGGCUUCAACUAUUCCAACUCCCUAGACAAUGAUCAGGUGCACCAGACAAACAGGGAUCAGUGCUGUUCUGAGUGCUGCAAGGAACACCUUAUGUAUCCCUACAGACUGUUUUGGUUGCUAGAUCUGCCAUAACCUGGAACCCCAGAUUAGGGGGAAGGCCUCUGAUGCCUCCUGGCACCAGUAGCUGGCUCUUUUUGUAAUGAUCCACCCAGGAAAUCUUGGAUGAGUUACUUCAAGAGUUCAACUCCUCCAUCUCCCCUGACAAGCACAGGGGCAUCAGGCCACCAACAUCCAUUGAAGGUCUGCGGUGAGAACAGGUCCACUUUCAUGGUCAAACUCAAGACCCAGAGAUGAUCAGAGCAAGCCCAGAACCCAGGCUAGAAACAACUGACACCCUUGGAACCUGCAGGAGAAGGAAUCAACCCUAUCCCUGGGUGAGGCCAGGACCAUGCUGAUGCUCAGAGAAGGGAGAAUGGAUGAUUUUCUACAGUCCUUGGGACCAUCCUUCCAGGACAGAAGCCUUGCAAACAACCCAGUCAUUUCCUGUCUCUACCAGGUGUUCACCACAGCCCAACAGGUCCUGGGCCAGCAAUUCCCCAGCACCCUCUCUCCCAUCUUGGGUACCUGGCCUGACCAGAAGCUGCAGGACACCUGGAAAUCCCUGCACUGUGCCUGUUUUGAAGUAAAGGGGGCCUGGGUGCAGGCAAAUUUGUAUGACCUGAAUUGCCAUGCUCCCAUUAUGGUAAUGCCCCGGGAACUUCUGCAGCUCACUGAGGCAGACACAGAGUCAGAGGUGCCAGCUCCACGGCUCCUUCCAGCAUCUCCUCCAUCAGCUGUUCCAGACCUGGAACAAGAGCCUGUGCCUUCUUCAUGCGUACCAGGUCAUGAGCCGCAGUCAGUUCCACCACCAGCUUUCCUGGGGAUUGUCACUCCUUCCCUAAGCAUAAAGACAGAGUGACCUCCAGCCCCAGAGGCGACCUACCACUGGUGCGUAACCCCCGAGCACCAGCUGCAUGAGGAGAAGCCCGGGCUCAUGGACUUCCCUCCCAAACUGGUGGCAGAGCAGUUGACAUCCAUAGACGUGGUGAGCAGCUGGGCACCCAGGACGGGGCUGGGACAGGCUUGCUUUCUGUUGUCAUCUGCCCCAGACCUGCCUUUCCCUGAUGUGGGCUUGUAUGGUCGGGGUCCAAAUCUCAGCUCCAUCACUUACCAACCACAUCAACCUGUCCAGUUCCUGAAACACUUGCUUUCACUGUCCAGCUGCAGACUAUGGAGAUAGACCCUGAGAAGGACUGAUGCAGAGUUCCUGUGUCGAUUAAAUGAGCCAGAACUGAUAGGCAAAUGGACAGGCCCUGGUCCUUGGGUGGGGGAGGGCAACUCACUGUGUGCGGCCAAGCCCAUGGCUCACCCACGCAUCAGCCUUGGAGGCCGAGCACCCUACACUUAUUAGGCAUCUAAUGUGUGCUGAAGUACAGGGAGGCAGACAAAACUGUGGUUGCACCUCCCUCUGUGAGAAUGUGCUGCUGAAAGGGGAGUAGGGCAAGAGGCAUGAACAGUGGGAGGGGAAGAUGCCCCUUUGAGGAGCCCCCUUGAACUGCCACCUGUAACUUGAAGUUAGUGGGGUGAUCAGGGUACAAAUGGCCUCUCCUCCCCCCUGCCCCGCCCCGGCAGGAUCUGCUCCUCGUUCAUCCUGUACUGGACUCCCUCAGUGAAGAGGAAUGAAGUGCAGUCCAGAGACUCUAACUGGGUUCAGGCCAAUUUCUGCGCUUGCUGAACCCCAGCUCUGACAUGGGACCCCUACGUAGGACAUGAAUCUUGCAUGUGAAAUGGCUGUGUGAAAAGACCCUGAACAGCCAGGGGAAUUUUAAAAAAGAAAACCAUAUCUGGGGGCAUCACAAUGCCAGAUUUCAGAUUGUACUAGAAAGCUGUGGUCAUCAAGACUGUGUGGUACUGGCACA